rnacentral:rRNA from 1 species
AGGUGGUGCAUGGUUGUCGUCAGCUCGUGUCGUGAGAUGUUGGGUUAAGUCCCGCAACGAGCGCAACCCUCGACCUUAGUUGCCAGCAUUCAGUUGGGCACUCUAAGGUGACUGCCGGCUAAAAGUACGGAGGAAGGUGGGGAUGACGUCAAAUCAUCAUGCCCCUUAUGACCUGGGCUACACACGUGCUACAAUGGGCGGUACAAAGGGUCGCGAACCCGCGAGGGGGAGCCAAUCCCAAAAGCCGCUCUCAGUUCGGAUUGCAGGCUGCAACUCGCCUGCAUGAAGCCGGAAUCGCUAGUAAUCGCGGAUCAGCAUGCCGCGGUGAAUACGUUCCCGGGCCUU